UGAUCGCAGCCUUGCUGAUGUUGUAGAGAAGGUUGUCUUCACGCUGCAUGACAGCUUCAAGAGGCCCAAGAGAAUCCUCAAGACGCCUCCUUUCAUGAUCACUGAGAAGGGGUACGGGGGAUUCUUUUUACCUGUUGAAGUUUUCCUGCAGAACAACAAACAAAUGAGGUUUGAGUAUGACCUGUCCCUGCAAGACCUCCAUGAACCCCCAAUCACCCUCACCCGAUGCGAACGCCUCACGUUCUACAACCCCCAAGAGGAGCUAAAGAGGAAGCUCCUGGCAGCAGGAGGCGUAAGCCUC